rnacentral:lncRNA from 1 species
CAGCACUACAUAAAAAAAUUAAACAAAAGUAUUGUGUCCAUGUACAACUAAAAAUAUUUUUAAAAAGAAAAAGGAAAAUAUUCACAACCAUGGAAUAAGCAAAGAUUUCUUAAUAAAUGGGAAACCAUCUAAGUUAAACUCUUUUAAGAACACUCUUAAGAAAAUGAAAAGGCAAGCUAUAGCUGGAAGAACACUUGCAAAACAUACCUGAGCAAAAGCCUUGUGUCUGAGAUGUAUGAAAAGCUUAACUCAUAAGACAACAGAUCAAAAUGUAGUCAAAAGCAUAUACUUGGGGCUGGACUAUACCUGGCAGUAUUAUAGUGUGUGCAUAGCAUGCACAAGGCCUGGGUUUGAUCACCAGCACCAAAAAGAAAAGAAAACAACUUCACAAAAGAUGUACGGCUGGGGUUGUAGCUCAGUGGCAGAGCGUUUGCCUAGCACAAAUGAGGCACUGGUUUUGAUCCUUAGCACUACAUAAAAAUAAACAAAUACAAUAAAGGUAUGCUGUUCAUCUACAACUACAAAAAAAGGUUUUUUAAAAAGAUGUGAAUAAAUCCUUGAAAAGAUUCUAAACAUCAUUGGUUAUCCAGGAUAUACAAAUAAGUACCACAACAAUAUACUUCAUAACCUGUAAAUUGGCUAAAUUUAAAAGACUGACAAUACCAAGUUUUAACACAGAUGUGGAACAUAUACUAAUGGGGAUAUAAAAUAGUACAACUACUUUAAAAAAUAGUUUGGCAGUUUUUUAAAGUUAAAUGUUCUCGGGAUGGAUGCAGUGGUGCAUACCUGUAACCCAGCAAAUCAGGAUGCUGAGGCAGGAGGAUCUCAGAUUCAAAGCCAGCCUGGGCAACUUGGACCCUGUCUCGGGGUCUAAGAGUUAGGGAUAUAACUCAGUGGUAGAACACUCCUGGUUUCAAUCCCCAGCACUGCAAAAAAAAAA